UAGCAGAGGUCUCAAGCGUUUGUUCGGAUUCAUUGGGCGUAAAGGGUGCGUAGGUGGCGCCGUAAGUCGGGUGUGAAAUUUCGGAGCUUAACUCCGAAACUGCAUUCGAUACUGCGGUGCUUGAGGACUGGAGAGGAGACUGGAAUUCAUGGUGUAGCAGUGAAAUGCGUAGAGAUCAUGAGGAACACCGGUGGCGAAGGCGGUGGUCUGGGCCGGAACUGACGCUGGAGGAGCGAAAGCGUGGGGAGCAACAGG
rnacentral:rRNA from 1 species